UACGUAGGGGGCUAGCGUUGUCCGGAAUCAUUGGGGGUAAAGCGCGCGUAGGCGGCCCGGUAAGUCCGCUGUGAAAGUCAAAGGCUCAACCUUUGAAUGUCAGCGGAUACUGCCGGGCUAGAGUCCGGAAGAGGCGAGUGGAACUCCUGGUGUAGCGGUGGAAUGCGCAGAUAUCAGGAAGAACACCAACGGCGAAGGCGGCUCGCUGGGACGGAACUGACGCUGAGGCGCGAAAGCGUGGGGAGCGAACAGG
rnacentral:rRNA from 1 species